rnacentral:lncRNA from 1 species
UUUUCUGAUUUGGCUUUAACCCAUCAUACUGGCUGGCAUUUUUAAAAGACUCCACAACUGAUUCAGCUCUUGCUACUAAUCUGGCUGGAGCCUCUUGUUUCCCUUCAAAAAGCCACUUAUUCCUAGCGUUCCAUAUCACCCAAAGUAGAGCUGCAACUGAUUCCUUCUCCACAUUUUUUUGCUGCUUUGUCAUAUCUUCCAUCAAUCUAAUUAUAUCAUGGAAUUGACCUUCUGGAGGGCUCCCUUCCGAUUUGAAAAGAGUCGGAAUUUAUUACUGAUUGUGGAUUGAGGACUUCGAAUGGUUGUGCUGCACUUAAUCGAUAAAGGAAAGGGGCUUGGCAAAACGAUG